rnacentral:rRNA from 1 species
GAUGAACGCUGGCGGCGUGCCUAAUACAUGCAAGUCGAGCGAACGGACGAGAAGCUUGCUUCUCUGAUGUUAGCGGCGGACGGGUGAGUAACACGUGGAUAACCUACCUAUAAGACUGGGAUAACUUCGGGAAACCGUAGCUAAUACCGGAUAAUAUUUUGAACCGCAUGGUUCAAAAGUGAAAGACGGUCUUGCUGUCACUUAUAGAUGGAUCCGCGCUGCAUUAGCUAGUUGGUAAGGUAACGGCUUACCAAGGCAACGAUGCAUAGCCGACCUGAGAGGGUGAUCGGCGACACUGGAACUGAGACAGGGUCCAGACUCCUACGGGAGGCAGCAGUAGGGAAUCGGCCGCAACGGGCGAAAGCAUGACGGAGCAACGCGGCGUGAGUGAUGAAGGUCUUCGGAUCGGAAAACUCUGUUAUUAGGGAAGAACAGAUGUGUAAGUAACUGUGCACAUCGUGACGGUACCUAAUCAGAAAGCCACGGCUAACUACGUG